rnacentral:rRNA from 1 species
AGUGAACGCUGGCGGUAGGCCUAACACAUGCAAGUCGAACGGCAGCACAGUAAGAGCUUGCUCUUACGGGUGGCGAGUGGCGGACGGGUGAGGAAUACAUCGGACUCUACUUUUUCGUGGGGGAUAACGUAGGGAAACUUACGCUCAUACCGCAUACGACCUACGGGUGAAAGCAGGGGAUCUUCGGACCUUGCGCGAUUGAAUGCGCCGAUGUCGGAUUAGCUAGUUGGCGGGGUAAAGGCCCACCAAGGCGGCGAUCCGUAGCUGGUCUGAGUGGAUGAUCAGCCACAUGGGAACUGAGACACGGUCCAGACUCCUACGAGAGGCAGCAGUGGGGAAUAGUGGACAAUGGUCGCAAGCCUGACCCAGCCAUACCGCGUGGGUUAAGAAAGCCUUCGGGUUGUAAAGCCCUUUUGUUGGUAAAGAAAAGCAUCAGGUUAAGACCCCGCUGUUCUGACGGUACCCAAAGAAUAAGCACCGGCUAACUUCGUG